rnacentral:rRNA from 1 species
ACGGAGGGUGCGAGCGUUAAUCGGAAUCACUGGGCGUAAAGCGCACGUAGGCGGUGUCGUAAGUCGGAUGUGAAAGCCCUCGGCUCAACCGGGGAACUGCAUUCGAUACUGCGAGGCUUGAGUGCCGGAGAGGGUGGCGGAACUCCAGGUGUAGGAGUGAAAUCCGUAGAUCCCUGGAGGAACACCAGUGGCGAAGGCGGCCACCUAGACGGGAUCUGACGCUGAGGGGCGAAAGCGUGGGGAUCAAACAG